UGUCCCGAUAGUGCAAUGGUCAGCGCUUCUGCCUAGCAAGCAGGAGGUCCAGGUUCGAACCCUGGUUGGACAC